UUGGUGCAAAUAUUAAUUUAGGAAAGCAUGGCGAAAAUUAUACUGGGUUUCUCCUUCUCCAUCUAUUGUAUCAUUCUAGUCAUUUUGAUGAUCACAUCCAUCUUUAUCUUACCAAUUGCAGAUGCAGAUAUGAGGUCAAGAAAGCAGGAAGAGCACCGCCCAUUACCAAGCCCUCCACCUCCUCCCAAACCGGGGCAACCUCGUCAGCCUGGACCUCCUCGUCAACCUGGACCUCCUCCAUGAAGUUUAUAGAUAUCUUGUAACAGCAAACUUUAUCAUUAUCUCAACAUGAAAAUAACUUUGGUUGAUCAUGAUAUUUAAAUUAAUCUUGAAAAAUUUAUAGUUUA